GCUUAGCCGUAAACUUUAAAUUACAUCCAAAUCGCCAGGGGACUACGAGCAAAGCUUAAAACCCAAAGGACUUGACGGUACCCCACAUCCACCUAGAGGAGCCUGUCCUACAAUCGAUACCCCCCGCUAAACCUCACCACUUUUAGUCAACUCAGCCUGUAUACCUCCGUCGUCAGCUUACCACGUGAGCGCAACUCAGUGAGCUUAAUGUUAAUACACCAACACGUCAGGUCAAGGUGCAGCAAAUGAAGUGGGAAGAGAUGGGCUACACUCUCUAAUAUAGAAAACACGGAAGACUACUUAUGAAACCUAGUCUAAAGGCGGAUUUAGAAGUAAAAAGAAAAAAGAACAUUCUUUUUAACUUGGCACUGGGGUGUGUACACACCGCCCGUCACCCUCUUCAAAGCCAUCAAAAAGUAAAUAACCAAUUAUGCAACACAGAAGAGGCAAGUCGUAACAUGGUAAGUAUACCGGAAGGUGUGCUUGGAAA
rnacentral:rRNA from 1 species